rnacentral:rRNA from 1 species
CGAACGGGUGAGUAACGCGUGGGGAACCUGCCUCAAAGAGGGGGACAACAGUUGGAAACGACUGCUAAUACCGCAUAAGCCCACGGCUCGGCAUCGAGCAGAGGGAAAAGGAGCAAUCCGCUUUGAGAUGGCCUCGCGUCCGAUUAGCUAGUUGGUGAGGUAACGGCCCACCAAGGCGACGAUCGGUAGCCGGACUGGGAGGUUGAACGGCCACAUUGGGACUGAGACACGGCCCAG